AUUGAACGCUGGCGGCAGGCCUAACACAUGCAAGUCGAACGAGUGGCGGACGGGUGAGUAAUGUCUGGGAAACUGCCUGAUGGAGGGGGAUAACUACUGGAAACGGUAGCUAAUACCGCAUACCAUCAGAUGUGCCCAGAUGGGAUUAGCUAGUUGGUGGGGUAACGGCUCACCAAGGCGACGAUCCCUAGCUGGGCUGAGAGGAUGGCCAGCCACACGGGAGCGGAGACACGGUCCAAACUCCUACGGGAGGCAGCAGUUGGUAAUAUUGCACAAUGGGCGCAAGCAUGAUGCAGCCAUGCCGCGUGUAUGAAGAAGGCCUUAGGGUUGUAAAGUACUUUCAGCGGGGGGGCGUUACCCGCAGAAGAAGCACCGGCGAACUCCGUGCCAGCAGCCGCGGUAAUUC
rnacentral:rRNA from 1 species